AAACAAAUAGGUUUGGUCCUAGCCUUUCUAUUAACUGUUAGUAAGAUUACACAUGCAAGUAUCCCCGCCCCGGUGAAAUCACCCUGUAAAUCACUACGAUCAAAAGGAGUAAGUAUCAAGCACCUAUUAAUGCAGCUCAAAACACUUUGCUCAGCCACACCCCCGCGGGAGACAGCGGUGAUAAGCCUUUAGCAAUAAAGGAAAGUUUAAGCUAUACUGACACCCAGGGUUGGUUAAUUUCGUGCCAGCCACCGAGGCCAUACGAUUAACCCAAGCUAAUAGAGACCGGCGUAAAGAGUGUUUUAGGUUUGCCCUCAAUAAAGCUAAGUUUCAUCUAAGUUGUUUAAAACCCUAGCUAAUAUAAAAUAAACUACGAAAGUGGCUUUAAUACUUCUGAAUACAAAAUAGCUAAGACCCAAACUGGGAUUAGAUAUCCCACUAUGCUUAGCCCUAAACUUCAACAUUAAAUUAACAAAACUGCUCGCCAGAACACUACAAGCGCUAGCUUAAAACUCAGAGGACUUGGCGGUGCUUCACAUCCCUCUAGAGGAGCCUUUUCUAUAAUCGAUAAACCCCGAUUCACUUCAUCACCUCUUGCUCAGCCUAUAUACCGCCAUCUUCAGCAAACCCUAGUAAAGGCCACAAAGUAAGCACAAGUAUCUACAUAAAAAUGUUAGGUCAAGGUGUAGCCUAUGAGAUAGUAAGAAAUGGGCUACAUGUUCUACCCCAGAAAAUUCCACGGUAACCCUUAUGAAACCUAAGGGCCAAGGAAGAUUUAGCAGUAAAUUAAGAAUAGAGUGCUUAAUUGAAUAAGGCCAUAAAGCACGCACACACUGCCCGUCACCCUCCUCAAGUAUAUUUUAAGGACUAACUUAACUAAAUCCCCUGUACAUUUAUAUAGAGGAGAGAAGUCGUAACAUGGUAAGUGUAACGGCGGAUGUUGAAGGUUUUGAGGA
rnacentral:ncRNA from 1 species